rnacentral:sRNA from 3 species
CUCAACCGCAAGGAGGGGGAUGCCUAAGGCAGGGCUAGUGACUGGGGUGAAGUCGUAACAAGGUAGCCGUACCGGAAGGUGUGGCUGGAUCACCUCCUUAAAGGGAGACCUAAUUCAGGUAGGAGACGAAAAAAAAGUAGUCCCUACCAGGAAUCAAUCCCAAAAGGUCGGAGCGAGGCGAAAUUGGCUUUCAAACUAGGUUCUGGGUUCAAACAAGACCUGAAUCAGGAACAAGGGCUAUUAGCUCAGGUGGUUAGAGCGCACCCCUGAUAAGGGUGAGGUCCCUGGUUCGAGUCCAGGAUGGCCCACCUGCACAGGUGGCAAAAACAAGAGAAGCGAGGAAUCAGCACCUUAUCUUACUGACAUAGUAAGAGAGAAUGCUGGCUCUGAGUAAAGAGUCCAGAGGAACCUUGAAAACUGCAUAGAGCUAGGUGAAAAAGCCAAAAAAGAAGACCGCAAGGUCAAGCUAAUAAGGGCUAACGGUG